GUGUGAAUGGAAUGGAAGACUGCUGCCAGGCACAUGUCAUAGACUUUGACCCUGACAGGGAGAUCCAGCUAAGAGUGAAAGUAGACAUAGAGGUUGAGUGGAUGCCACCAAGCUUCAUGGCAGAAAGGAACUGAGUGGAUUUCUCAUGUAGAGAUUAUGGUUUGGAGUGAAAAUAGGUCAGCAUAACAUGUUACUGUGAAUGUGCAAUAACAACAGCUGCUGUGAAGAAUGAAAGACUGGUGAGUAGCUUGAUCCUUCAAAGCUCUCUUGAGAAAGAGAGAAUGGGAGAUCACCCACAAGUGCUCCUUACUUGGAGAUAGUAAGACAGCAGCCUUUCAUGCGUCUAAGCACCAGGAGCUCUCAGCAUUGGCAGUGCCUUUAAGAAGGAC